CUCCCGCGGCGCCGACCGGAGCUCCAGAGCCCCUCCCGUCUCUACCUGCUCGAGCUCCCGAAGUCGCCGCGCCUUAACGCGCCGUGUCGGGGCCGCAGGCGCCACUAGGGAAGCCCAGCUCCCCGCUGGAAGGACGCUCCGGACACUGCGAAUGAAUGACGACAACGCGGCUCACUUGGAGCGGGUCCGGGUUUGCGCGGACUCGGUACCACCGCGGGCUCUGCGCGCCGAGCUGAGCAGCUGUGGCUGGCUUCGGGGGAACCUUUGGGGGAAGCUCCUGGGGACCGUGUGCCAAGCACUGGGCCCGACGCCCAUCCCAGCAGGGAGGACGCCGCCAGCCUGCGUGGGUGCGUGUGUGCUGUUUGUGUUUAAGGUUGACGCUCUAUGGGAUAGCGCCACCCCUUUUCCCAGGAAAAGUGUUUCAAGGGUCCAGACCUGGAGCUCUGUUAGAGACCCGGGGUCGGAAGCCAACGCAGCCAAUGGUCGUCGAUGUUUUUGUUUCCUGCAUCCCCAGGGCAAGUCAUGCGCUAAACUUGUCACCGCUUGUGACCCCUCCCCCUCUCCAUUCUAUUGUAAUUAAAGUGGCCCAGCUAAGUGCAUUACAUCACUUCUUUCCUUGACCUGUAGGGCGUGAGCAAUAGAGAAGUUGGAAGCGGCCCAAAAGCUUAAACCAACUAAUUCACACCACAGCUGUUCCUAUAUCGCAUUUGGGGCUUCGAAAACGGCAUGGCAGAAUUUUAAAAUUUAUCCACGCUUGGUAGAUGGAUUUCUUUUUUUUAAUCAGUGAAACCAGAAACACACAAACCAGGGCAGCUUUAUCCCUAGACAGUUUCAGUUUCCCCAAAUACUUCGAGCUUCCAGUGGUGAUCACAGCCCAUCUGCCUACAUAUCUGAUGACCUUUUUUUUUUCAUCCCGCCCAGGAGAUCUGGAGGAUAGUUCAGCCAAAAAAAAAAAAAAAAAAAAAAAAGCCUCCUCUUCCCAAAUGAUGGGAAUUUAGCAGACUCUGCUUUGUUGUGGAUGCUGGGCAAUCCUAGGGACUUUUCCCUUUCCAAAUGAGCAAAGAUUCAAAUGAAACUUUCUUGUGUGGGCUUCAAAAUUGUGACUUUUGUAGCUCUGACUUGAAUUGUUGAAUUCCUUCAAUUAGUCGAAUGAGCAAAUCACCAGCCAUUCUAAUGAGACUGCCAUUUCAUCUGUUCACUUCCUACCCCUUGGGCUCUCAAGGAAUGGAAGUUUUCCUUGAUGUUACCACACAGACUGAUCUGCCUCUUCCAGGCAUCAGUGGAAACCUCAUAUAUUUAACACAGACUCAAAAAACUCAUUUGGCACUUUUGGUCACAGUGCAGUGCCUUCAGUCACAAAAUCUGCAAAUAAAAAGCAAACAAUAAGA
rnacentral:lncRNA from 1 species